rnacentral:rRNA from 1 species
GAUGAACGCUAGCGGCAGGCUUAAUACAUGCAAGUUGAGGGGCAGCAUGAUAUACGCGAGUAUAUUGAUGGCGACCGGCGGACGGGUGAGUAAUAGGUAGGAGACCUACCUCAUACAGGGGGAUAGCAUAGAGAAAUCUGUGGUAAUACCCCAUGAGGUUAUAUGAAUAGAGGCAUAUAAUCAAAGCAUAAGCGAUUAUGCGGUAUGAGAGGGGCCUACUGACCAUUAGCUAGUUGGUGAGGUAAGGGCUCACCAAGGCGAAGAUGGUUAGGGGUUUUGAGAGAGAGACCCCCCACAUUGGAACUGAGAGACGGUCCAGACUCCUACGGGAGGCAGCAGUAGGGAAUAUUGGGCAAUGGGCGAAAGCCUGACCCAGCCAUGCCGCGUGAAGGAAGACGGCCUUAUGGGUUGUAAACUUCUUUUACUACGCGAAUAGAGGUUAGUACGAGAUACUAAAUAGGAAAGGUAGUGUAGUAAAAAGCAACCGGCUAACUCCGUGCC